rnacentral:rRNA from 1 species
UACAGAGGUCUCAAGCGUUGUUCGGAUUCAUUGGGCGUAAAGGGUGCGUAGGCGGCGCGGUAAGUCGGGUGUGAAAUCUCGGAGCUUAACUCCGAAACUGCAUUCGAUACUGCCGUGCUUGAGGACUGGAGAGGAGACUGGAAUUUACGGUGUAGCGGUGAAAUGCGUAGAUAUCGAGAGGAACACCGGUGGCGAAGGCGGCGAUCUGGACGAUGACUGACGCUGAGACGCGAAAGCGUGGGGAGCAAACAGG